UACGAAGGGGGCUAGCGUUGUUCGGAAUUACUGGGCGUAAAGCGUGCGCAGGCGGCUUCUCGAGUCAGGGGUGAAAGCCCAGAGCUCAACUCUGGAAUUGCCUUUGAGACUGAGUGGCUUGAGUACGGGAGAGGUGAGUGGAAUUCCCAGUGUAGAGGUGAAAUUCGUAGAUAUUGGGAAGAACACCGGUGGCGAAGGCGGCUCACUGGCCCGUAACUGACGCUCAUGCACGACAGCGUGGGGAUCAAACAGG
rnacentral:rRNA from 1 species